CUUAAUCCCAAAAGAAAUAAACAGCACUGAAUAUGAAAACAUAAAUUUCCCGAAGUUAGAAUCUAUCCGACAAAUAGCCUCUGAUUUGAAGAUCCCUCAGGUGGUCUUGUUGAUAAAAGUGGACGUGGCUUGUCCUCAUGUGAAGGAGGACAUCAAACAAAUCUACAAGAGUCGGGCAAUCUUCCAUAAGGCACAAGCAUGUAGCGAUGCCUUUGGAGUCCCCAUGAGCUUAAUCUUCCCAGUGAAGAACAAGACAAGGAGAAGCAGCUCGACCCUGAUGUGGAUGCAGUGCUGCUGUUCACACUGAGAGAGAUCCUGAGCUUUGCCAACGACUGUGAAGGAGAUCAAGGAGCAUGAGGUGAAGACCUCAGGAGAAGAAG